rnacentral:rRNA from 1 species
UACGUAGGGGGCUAGCGUUGUCCGGAAUCAUUGGGCGUAAAGCGCGUGUAGGCGGUCCGGUAAGUCCGCUGUGAAAGUCGGGGGCUCAACCCUCGAAUGCCGGUGGAUACUGUCGGGCUAGAGUGCGGAAGAGGCGAGUGGAAUUCCUGGUGUAGCGGUGAAAUGCGUAGAUAUCGGGAGGAACACCAGUGGCGAAAGCGGCUACCUGGCCCAUUCUUGACGCUGAGGCGCGAAAGCUAGGGGAGCAAACGGG